UUUGUAGGGUUUGGUAUUUAGUGAUGAUCAACAUAGCUCUCAUGGGCACAUCUAGGAGAGGAAUAAGAUGUUAAGCAGUGAUCUCAUAUGUACGUCUUUUCAAAUUAGAACUAUAAACGUCAUAAUAUUACUUUUAUGCUGGAGGAUGGAAUUUGGGGCAACCUAAAUCUGUGUUCCUGAACCAUGGUCACUAAAAUGGCUCAAGAAAUAAACUAUCUCUUGUUCCCUCUGGGAUGAGAGUUGUGGUUCUCCCACAUCAGCAAAUAGAAGGCAG
rnacentral:lncRNA from 1 species